rnacentral:rRNA from 1 species
GACGAACGCUGGCGGCGUGCCUAAUACAUGCCAGUCGAGCGAAGUUUUUCUGGUGCUUGCACUAGAAAAACUUAGCGGCGAACGGGUGAGUAACACGUAAAGAACCUGCCUCAUAGACUGGGACAACUAUUGGAAACGAUAGCUAAUACCGGAUAACAGUAUUUCUCGCAUGAGAGAUAUUUAAAAGUUGGUUAUGCUAACACUAUGAGAUGGCUUUGCGGUGCAUUAGCUAGUUGGUGGGGUAAAGGCCCACCAAGGCGACGAUGCAUAGCCGACCUGAGAGGGUGAUCGGCCACACUGGGACUGAGACACGGCCCAGACUCCUACGGGAGGCAGCAGUAGGGAAUCUUCCGCAAUGGGCGAAAGCCUGACGGAGCAACGCCGCGUGAGUGAAGAAGGAUUUCGGUUCGUAAAGCUCUGUUGUUAGGAAAGAAUGGAUAUGUAGUAACUAUACAUGUAAGAGACGGUACCUAACCAGAAAGCCACGGCUAACUACGUG